AUUGAACGCUGGCGGCAGGCCUAACACAUGCAAGUCGAACGAGUGGCGGACGGGUGAGUAAUGUCUGGGCAACUGCCUGAUGGAGGGGGAUAACUACUGGAAACGGUAGCUAAUACCGCAUACCAUCGGAUGUGCCCAGAUGGGAUUAGCGAGUAGGUGGGGGAACGGCUCACCUAGGCGACGAUCCCUAGCUGGUCUGAGAGGAUGACCAGCCACACUGGAACUGAGACAAGGUCCAGACUCCUACGGGAGGCAGCAGUGGGGAAUAUGGCACAAUGGGCGCAAGCCUGAUGCAGCCAUGCCGCGUGUAUGAAGAAGGCCUUCGGGUUGUAAAGUACUUUCAGCGGGGAGGCGUUACCCGCAGAAGAAGAACAGGCUAACUCCGUGCCAGCCGCCGCGGUAAUUC
rnacentral:rRNA from 1 species